rnacentral:piRNA from 1 species
UAGUGAUAAAUUAUCAAUAGCCAGAUG